GGCACUUGUAAGUCUGCUAGCUGUUAGGAGCCCCAGAAAGUACCAAGGGGCAGGAUUCUCUGCCUAUCCCAAGGGGCAGAAACCACCAGGAAAUUCUCCAGCACAGGUGAAGCUUCAAAUCAUGAGCCAUUCUAGCAGACUCUAGGACCGCAGUGAUGCUUCAAUGUCGGGAUCAGAUACUAAAUCACACCAUGAGGAGAGUAAGAUGCACCAGGCCUGGACUUGCCCUUGGGAGUAAACUUCAGCCACUUAAACCCGGCCAACGCUCUCUCAUCCCCUGGGACUCUUAACUGGAAGCGGCACAGUGGGACUUUAAAGAACUGCCAACGAUAUGAACAACUAUGACCGUGUUUGUGCAUGCCAGGCAAUUACAACUGCAUCAAGACAACCAUCUGGCCAACAGUGAUUUCACGAUGCCAGCAAUGGACCCAGAGAAAGUCCUUCAGCUACAUUCUCUGUAGGGAGUCUCCUGCCAGCGGGAUUAAUAUCUGAAGAUGAGAGGAACUGAGACCAGGCUGUAUAAAUUCUCUUGGGUCCUGGGGGCUAGUCUCCUUUUGAGACCCCUGUGACACUUUAAAAAACGUUUUUGCUUUUCUUCAUCAUCAGAGGAGUCUUUUCCUAGUGCAUAAGGUUGCAUGUUGAGUGUUGGAGAUGUGGACUUAACGGUGAAUGUGGGUCAUCGCUUGGAUGUGCAGUUGGCACAGCUCAAGAGCCAAAAAAUGAGACCC
rnacentral:lncRNA from 1 species